rnacentral:rRNA from 1 species
CGCUGGCGAGAUGCUUACACAUGCAAGUCAUACGAGAAUUUUUAAUUCAAGUGGCGGACGGGUGAGUAACACGUAAGAAUUUGCCUUUAGGAGGGGGACAACAACUGGAAACGGUUGCUAAUACCCCAUAUGCUUUCGAGUGAAACGGAAUUUUCCGCCUAAAGAGAAGCUUGCGGCUGAUUAGCUUGUUGGUGAGGUAAUGGCUUACCAAGGCGACGAUCAGUAUCUGGUUUGAGAGGAUGAUCAGACACACUGGAACUGAGACACGGUCCAGACUCCUACGGGAGGCAGCAGUGGGGAAUUUUCCGCAAUGGGCGAAAGCCUGACGGAGCAAUCUCGCGUGAGGGAUGACGGCCUAUGGGUUGUAAACCUCUUUUUUCAGGGAGGAAUAAAUGACGUGUACCUGAAGAAUAAGCAUCGGCUAACUCCGUGCCAGCAGCCGCGGUAAGACGGAGGAUGCAAGUGUUAUCCGGAAUCACUGGGCGUAAAGCGUCUGUAGGUGGUUUGAUAAGUCAACUGUUAAAUCUUGAAGCUCAACUUCAAAAUCGCAGUCGAAACUAUCAGACUAGAGUAUAGUAGGGGUAAAGGGAAUU